rnacentral:rRNA from 1 species
CGGGUAGAGUAACGCGUGAAUAACCUGACUCAAAGAGGGGGGAGUAACAACGGGAAACUGUUGCUAAUACCGCAUGAGACCACAACACCGCAUGAUGAAGGGGUCAAAGAUUUAUCGCUUUGAGAGGGGUUCGCGUCCCAUUAGGUAGUUGGAGGGGUAACGGCCCACCAAGCCAACGAUGGGUAGCCGAGCUGAGAGGCUGAUCGGCCACACUGGAACUGAGACACGGUCCAG